GGACCAUGGAAGCUACCUGUCAUAGGAAACAUACACAAUCUUCUUUCAUCUGCACCACACAGAAAAUUAAGAGACUUAGCCAAAAUAUAUGGUCCUUUGAUGCAUCUCCAACUUGGGGAGGUCUUCACAAUCAUUGUUUCCUCACCAGAAUAUGCCGAGGAGAUCAUGAAAACCCAUGAUCUCAUCUUUGCAUCAAGGCCUACAAUUCUAGCUUCUGAUAUAUUGUGCUAUGAAUCCACUGAUAUUGUGUUUUCUCCUUAUGGAAACUACUGGAGACAGCUACGAAAAAUCUGCACAGUAGAACUUUUCACCCAGAAACGUGUCAACUCAUUCAGACCAAUAAGAGAAACUGAGUUCACCAAUCUCGUUAAAAUGAUUGAUUCUCAUCAGGGGUCAUCCAUCAACCUCACUGAAGCAGUUCUUUCAUCGAUAUACAACAUCAUUUCAAGAGCUGCGUUUGGCAUGAAAUGCAAAGACCAAGAAGAGUUCAUAUCAGUGGUAAAAGAAGGAGCACUAGCUGUAUCAGGUUUGAGCAUUGGAGAUUUGUUUCCUUCUGCCAAAUGGCUUCAACUUGUUACUGGUUUGAAGCCUAAGCUUGAGAAGCUGCAUCGACAAAUUGAUCGGAUUCUGGGAGACAUCAUCAAUGAACACCAACAGACAAAUCCAAAAGCCCCAGAAGGCCAGGGUGAAGCAGACGAAGAUUUGGUAGAUGUUCUCCUAAAAUUCCAGGAUGGUAAUGAGAGAAACCAUGAUAUUUGCUUAACUAUUAACAAUGUCAAGGCUAUAAUCCUGGAUAUCUUUUCUGCUGGAGGAGACACAGCAGCUUCUACCAUUAAUUGGGCAAUAGCAGAGAUGAUAAGGGAUCCGAGAGUAAUGAAGAAAGCACAAUAUGAGGUGAGAGAGGUAUUCAAUAUGAAAGGAUUGAUUGAUGAAACAUGCAUGGAUGAACUCAAAUACUUGAAAUCAGUGGUCAAAGAGACCUUAAGGUUACAUCCACCAGCUCCUCUUUUACUUCCAAGAGAAUGCAGAGAAGCAUGUGAGAUUAAAGGGUAUCAUAUUCCAGCUAAAAGCAAGGUAAUUGUGAAUGCUUGGGCAAUUGGAAGAGAUCCAAACUAUUGGAGUGAAGCAGAGAGGUUUUAUCCAGAGAGAUUCAUUGAUAGCUCUAUUGAUUACAAAGG
rnacentral:sRNA from 1 species